CCCCAGCCGCCGGACAGCAACACGAGCCCGACCAGGGCAAAACGGAGCAGUGGGAGAACAGAUGCUGGAAUCUUAAACAAGAACUACAGAUGCUGGAAUCUUAAGCAAAACACCAAGUACUGGAGGAACUCAGCGCGAGGAUCUGAGCAAGGAAGAACUUACUAGCAGUUGAUGACUCCACCAAAGAUCAUGCAGUAGAACGGCAACAAUCCACUUGUGUUCAAUCCCCCGCUGGGCCAGCUGCUGUGGGCUGUGUGCUGCGUGACAACCUUCUCUGUGUUCCUCAGUACCUUGAUUCUCAUCUGCAAGGUAGCCAAUCGUGUUACUGUGCUUCCGUUACUAGUUCCCGAGACCAGGAAACCACACUGAAGAAGUGAAGGAGAUGAUUUUAGUUGCACUUUUCUCAUUUUUUAAAAAGCAGCUGUCUCGUUACUGAAGAGCUGAGCUCUUUGUAAUAAACCUUUUUUUAAUGUUUUAGAACAAAUGUCAUCAAAUUAAAAGCUAAUAUCUA